rnacentral:lncRNA from 1 species
CAUGCUUCAAUGUUCCUUCUGCUUGCGAUCGAAUCAUACUAGCUAAACUUGGGGUUAGUGGGUGAAGGCAACAACACGAGGUUGUGACCACGAUGAUACUUAUGCUUUGCACUUGCCAAUGCAAGUGGGCACAAUCUAGCUUCGGGUCAAGAGAAGGAAGAAGUAAAGAGGAGAAGGCGGCUUACAGAGCCAUGCUGGUGGUGGAUUCUCUCUCCCUAUGCUUUAAGUGGAGAUGGUAGAUGUACGUAGAUGGCCA